rnacentral:rRNA from 1 species
GGCGAAGGGGGCUAGCGUUGUUCGGAAUUACUGGGCGUAAAGCGCGUGUAGGUGGUUGUCCAAGUUGGAUGUGAAAGCCUUGAGCUCAACUCAAGAAAUGCAUUCAGGACUGGGCGGCUAGAGGACCGGAGAGGAUAGUGGAAUUCCCAGUGUAGUGGUGAAAUACGUAGAGAUUGGGAAGAACACCAGUGGCGAAGGCGGCUAUCUGGACGGUUUCUGACACUAAGACUCGAAAGCGUGGGGAGCAAACAGG